GUCUUGGUACUACAUGUACAGGAUAGGUGGGAGGCUUUGAAACCAGGACGCCAGUUUUGGCGGAGCCAUCCUUGGGAUACCACCCUUGUAGUACUGGGACUCUAACCAUAGGCCAUGAAUCUGGUCUUGGGACACUGUCAGGUGGGCAGGUUGACUGGGGCGGUCGCCUCCCAAAAGGUAACGGAGGCGCUCAAAGGUUCUCUCAGUACGGUCGGAAAUCGUACGUAGAGUGUAAAGGCAAAAGAGAGCUUGAUUGCAAGACAUACAGGUCGAGCAAGGAUGAAAAUCGGACUUAGUGAUCCGGUGGUUCUGCG
rnacentral:rRNA from 1 species